GACGAACGCUGGCGGCAUGCCUAACACAUGCAAGUCGAACGGUAAGGCUUCCUUCGGGAAGUACACGAGUGGCGAACGGGUGAGUAACACGUGGGUAACCUACCCUUGACUGGGGGACAACCGAGGGAAACUUCGGCUAAUACCGCAUAACGUGCAUUGCCUCAAGGUGGUGUACCAAAGCUCCGGCGGUUAAGGAGGGGCCCGCGGCAGAUUAGGUUGUUGGUGAGGAAAAGGCUUACCAGGGCGACGAUCUGUAGCUGGUCAGAGAGGACAAUCAGCCACACUGGACGUGAGCCGCGGACAAUACCCCGACGGGAGGAAGCAGUGGGGAAUCUUGCGCAAUGGGCAAAAGCCUGACGAAGCAAGGCCGCGUGAGGGAAGACGGCUUUAGGGUUAUAACCCUCUUUCAGCAGGGACGAACACAGACGGUACCUGCAGAAGAAGCCCCGGCUAACUACGUGCCAGCCGCCGCCGUAA
rnacentral:rRNA from 1 species